GACGAACGCUGGCGGCGUGCCUAAUACAUGCAAGUAGAACGCUGAAGCUUGGUGCUUGCACCGAGCGGAUGAGUUGCGAACGGGUGAGUAACGCGUAGGUAACCUGCCUGGUAGCGGGGGAUAACUAUUGGAAACGAUAGCUAAUACCGCAUAAGAGUAGAUGUUGCAUGACAUUUGCUUAAAAGGUGCAAUUGCAUCACUACCAGAUGGACCUGCGUUGUAUUAGCUAGUUGGUGAGGUAACGGCUCACCAAGGCAACGAUACAUAGCCGACCUGAGAGGGUGAUCGGCCACACUGGGACUGAGACACGGCCCAGACUCCUACGGGAGGCAGCAGUAGGGAAUCUUCGGCAAUGGACGGAAGUCUGACCGAGCAACGCCGCGUGAGUGAAGAAGGUUUUCGGAUCGUAAAGCUCUGUUGUAAGAGAAGAACGAGUGUGAGAGUGGAAAGUUCACACUGUGACGGUAUCUUACCAGAAAGGGACGGCUAACUACGUGCCAGCAGCCGCGGUAAUACGUAGGUCCCGAGCGUUGUCCGGAUUUAUUGGGCGUAAAGCGAGCGCAGGCGGUUAGAUAAGUCUGAAGUUAAAGGCUGUGGCUUAACCAUAGUACGCUUUUGGAAACUGUUUAACUUGAGUGCAAGGGGGGGAGAGUGGAAUUCCAUGUGUAGCGGGUGAAAUGCGUACAUAUAUGGAGGAAUAUCGGUUGUCGAAAGGGGCUCUCUGUCUGGAACUGACGCUUAGGCUCGAAAGCGCGGUGAGUAAAUAGCAUUAAAUAUCCUGGUAGCCUAAGGGCGAC
rnacentral:rRNA from 1 species